AAAAAAAGUAAACAAAAAUGGCGGAAAAUAGGAGACAUGAGACCGGCAUUGAAAUAGCUAAAAAUGAAAUAAGAGAAGCGAGACCAAGAAUAACUCUGAUUAUUAACGUUAAUUACCAAAGUUAACUUUUGAAAUGCUUUAAAGGAUAAAACGGCAGGUACGAGUCCUGCGACAGGCGAAGUUACUCCACAACUCUGUGGCGGCUAACGCUAAUGUUAGCAUGGUACCUCCAGUGAGAGCCAUUAGCCAAGAAGACAACUGAAGAUCAGAUACUGGCAGUGCCAGGACCGGACACGGACUCGGAAACAGCUGGAACAAGUACUAAGACAGCUCCUACAAACUGGAGAGACCACUAUAAAUUAAGGCCUGACGGGCAGAAAGAAGAGCUGCAGACAAACUGGAAGGGAUAUCAACAGAGAAAAGUGCCACACCACUGAUUAUGUAGCUCCUCCUCAGUCUUCACAUUCUUCAAAUGAAGAAGUCUUAAAUCGAUCAUAUGGUGGCAACGAUUACCUGGGAGUUUUAUGAUUCUGAUAUGUUCCUCAACCUUUUCCUAGGUUGCUUGAUUUCCAAAUAAUAUUAUAAAAGCAGUAUUAGAGUUUGGAUGUUAAUAGAAUUUUUUACAACCAACUUUCAAUUUCAACACUGGAACUUUUUUUUUUUAAAUUUUGUUCAUAAGUGCAAAACUUGUACAUCAGACAUUUUAAGAUACUGUAGAUGAGAGUGGUCCAAGUCCAAGUGUUUCCAAAAUGUAAUUUCAGAUGAAAACUGAAACUUGCACAAUAAACAACAGUAAGACAAAGUGGGAGAUAGAUACUAUUUCCACUCAAUACUGAAUAAAAAUUCAGGACAUACUGUUGCACAGGUAGUUUAUUUGAUGGAUUAAUUUUCAAGUGACACAGAGAAAACUGCAGAUAACAAGGAAACCAUCUACUCCCACUUUACUGCACUUCUCAGGCAAAAAAUGAUCAGAGUUUCAGACAAAACAAAGUGACGGCUGUGGGAGUUGCAUUGUGGAAAAAGCACAAACUGCAAGUAAAUUUAGAACAUGAAAAACUUCUACUGUAGGUUCGUUUUAACAGUUAGUGAUACAGUCGACACUCAGGAUGUCCCAAUUCAUUACCGAGGGAAUCUGAAAUUUCUCUGCAGUUAGAUCAGACUGCAUUUAAAUCUAUUAAAUCAUCUGAUAGAUGCAGACCCAGCUGUGACGAUGAUAAAGAUAACUGCUGUAGUUUCAUCAUCGUCCUCACACAUAAACACUGUCACAGUAGAGACUUUGUACACAGCCAUCUGAAAAAUGACCAGCCAUCAUCCUGUGACCCAUAAAAACCACAACUGGGUGGCUGCAGUGGUGCCAGAUGUGGGCAGGUGUUAGCAUAGCUGCUUUACUUCCCUCUGAGCAGGUGGUUAAAGGGGCAGAACAGUGACAGGCUGCUGUGGGGGGACAGUGCUGUUGAUGCAAAUGGACAGCGUGUCACUGAAGAGCACAGUGGUCUCCACAGCCUGUUGUCACAUCCUAUGACACUCAGUGGAUGCUGCAAAGCAGAGAUGCCUUUGAAAUACUAAAAAUAUCAUAUAUACAAUAAUGUUGCAGUCUGUAGAUUUGUGGAAAAUGGUGCACAAAAAGCUGAAACAUGAGGUCUUUCAGUUUUCUGUUACAAAACACGUUUCUUUCAACUGCUGUUAUGAAGGAGCUCCCACGUUGCCACCUGUAGGAAACCUCGUAUGUCAGUUCAUCUCCGAAUUCUCAGCAGUUCCACUUGAAAAAUUUUAGAUUGUGGUGAAAAGCUGCUUCUUUACACUGAUGUUGUUUUUAAUCAAUAAGACAGUGUUAACAUUUGCUGAAUGUCAAGAAGUUAGCAAUGAAUAAUCGCCUUCAGUCAAUAUGUGUGUGUGUGUGUGUGUGUGUGUGUGUGUGUGUGGAA